ensembl:lncRNA
GCUUCGGCAGAACUUCCCCCAGCUAACCACUUACCUUAGCUUCUGUUAAACUGCUUAGUUCCGCAAUGCUCCCCUGCAGCUGCUGAGGAAAAAUGCCCGCUCUGUAGACAAGGCUGGCCUUGAACUCAGAGAAAUCCCGGAGUGCUGGGAUUUAAGAUUGCCUUUCCUGCUGACUGAUGCUCGAGAAACUUCAACAUGCCUGACAGCCCCACACUGCCAACAGACGUCUUCCCAAAGACAUCUCAAACAGCAAACAAGGGCUGGAACGGUGGCUCAGUGGUUAAGAGCAUUUGCUGCCCUUGUAGAGGACCUGGGUUUGGUUUCCAGUGCUCAUCUGAUGGCUCGCAACAAUUCACAAUCCCAGCUUCAGGGGAUCGAAUGCUCUCUUCUGGCCUCCGUGGGCAUCAGAAACACACAUGCUGGACAUAGAUGCAUGUAGCUCAAACAGUCAU